AUUGAACGCUGGCGGCAGGCCUAACACAUGCAAGUCGAACGAGUGGCGGACGGGUGAGUAAUGCUUGGGAAUCUGCCUGAUGGAGGGGGAUAACUACUGGAAACUGUCGCUAAUACCGCAUACCAUCGGAUGAGCCCAGAUGGGAUUAGCUAGGUGGUGGGGUAAAGGCUCACCAAGGCGACGAUCCCUAGCUGGUCUGAGAGGAUGACCAGCCACACUGGGACUGAGACACGGUCCGGACUCCUACGGGAGGCAGCAGUGGGGAAUAUUGCGCAAUGGGCGCAACCCUGAUGCAGCCAUGCCGCGUGAAUGAAGAAGGCCUUCGGGUUGUAAAGUUCUUUCGGCGACGAGGCGUUAAUCACAGAAGAAGCACCGGCUAACUCCGUGCCAGCAGCCGCGGUAAUUC
rnacentral:rRNA from 1 species